UUUUGCUUUAAAGUUCUUUGAAAAUCAGGGUUAAGUGGGAUGCAGACCAUCUGUCUAAAUUUUCCAAAGCCUUUUUAUAUAAAUUAUUUUAGAUUUUAGUAUUAUUAGUCGCCUGAUAGGGUGAAAUUAGAGGCUGUAUUAUCUGAAACCUUGUAAUUAAUGUAUCUAAUUUUAAAAAUUUAAACAAUGGAGUAAGAAGACUAGUCAGUGCUUUGGAAUGCAAGGAGAAUUUAAUUUGGCCAUGCUGCCCUACCAGUAAGCUUCUCAGCCACUCCUACCAUAUUGCUGUUUUGCCUAGUGGAUAUCUUCUGUUAGCAUCAUAAAAAUUUCCAUCUUGCAAUGAAUAGCAAGUAGGAAAGAGUUAAAUCUCCUGUUCUCUAUGUCAUAGUUCAGAUUCUCAUUCUGUCUUUUUUCCCUCUGGGGACUGCUUUAAACUUUUAAUUGUAAUUGCAUAUUGUAAGACGUCUCUUGGCUCUUAGAUGUAACAUUCAUAAACAGUGAGCAGUAUCUCUUCAGGCUAUACAGUAGAUAGAAAUCUGCAUGAUUGACUCUUUCUCCAUACCCCUCACUGCCAGCAAAAGACUUAGAAAAGGCUAGGAUAUAAACUGGUUGUCCAAGGUGCUAGUUUUCGGUAAGCAAGGAUUUCUCUUUAUUGAGAAGAAAUGUAUGUAGUCAUGUGAGUCCCUCCUGCAACUGAAGUGGAACUACUCAGUAGGAGAUUUACCAUUUCAGGCUACAAUCAGGUUUGUGGUUGGCCACUCUAAGGCUGGUCUAUGUGCUGGAACAAUACACAUAGUUGUGAGAUACCCAACUUCAUACUUCCUGUCAUUCUGACAUAACUCAGGAGCAUGGCAAGUAAAUAGUUGCUUGCUUAGGACCUGUCCAGGAAUUUUCUUUAGUA